rnacentral:snoRNA from 1 species
GUGAUGAGCCAUUCCGGCACGGAGGGAUGAAGUAGGCGCUUGAUCUGA